rnacentral:rRNA from 1 species
AGUCGAACGGCAGCACGGACUUCGGUCUGGUGGCGAGUGGCGAACGGGUGGUAAUGUAUCGGAACGUGCCUAGUAGCGGGGAUAACUACGCGAAAGCGUAGCUAAUACCGCAUACGCCCUUCGGGGAAAGCGGGGGCCAGCUGGGCCUCGCACUAUUAAGAGCGGCCGAUAUCGGAUUAGCAGCUAGUUGGUGGGGGUAACGGCUCGCAAGGCGACGAUCCGUAGCUGGUUUGAAGGACGACCAGCUACACUGGGACUGAGACACGGCCCAGACUCCUACGGGAGGCAGCAGUGGGGAAUUUUGGACAAUGCAGGGGUGCGCAAAGUCCAGCCAUCCCGCGUGUGCGAUGAAGGCCUUCGGGUUGUAAAGCACUUUUGGCAGAAAGAAACGGCACGGGAUAAUGCCCCGUGCAACUGACGGUACCUGCAGAAUAAGCACCGGCUAACUACGUGCCAGCAGCCGCGGUAAUACGUAGGGUGCAGCGAUUAAUCGGAAUUACUGGGCGUAAAGCGUACGCAGGCGGUUCCGGAAAGAAAGAUGUGAAAUCAGGCUUAACUUUGGAAGCUGUUUUAACUACCGAGCAGAGUGUCAGAGGGAGGUGGAAUUCGCGUGUAGCAGUGAAAUGCGUAGAUAUGCGGAGGAACACCGAUAGCGAAGGCAGCCUCCUGGGAUAACACUGACGCUCAUGCACGAAAAGCGGUGGGGGCAAACGGGAUUAGAUACCCUGGUAGUCCACGCCCUAAACGAUGUCAACUAGCUGUUGGGAUAUAUGGGCCUUGGUAGCGCAACUAACGCGUGAAGUUGACCGCCUGGGAAGUACAGUCGCAAGAUUGACAUAAAGGAAUUGACAGGGACCCGCACAAGCGGUGGAUGAUGUGGAUUAAUUCGAUGCAACGCGAAGAGCCUUACCUACCCUUGACAUGUGCAAGUCCCGAAGAGAUUUACAGGAGUGCUCGCAAGAGAACCGGAACACAGGUGCUGCAUGGCUGUCGUCAGCUCGUGUCGUGAGAUGUUGGGUUAAGUCCCGUAACGAGCGCAACCCUUGUCAUUAGUUGCUACGAAAGGGGCUGUUCAAUGAGACUGCCGAUGGGCGCGGAAGGUUGAGGAUGACGUCAGAAUCAUGGCCCAUAUGGGUAGGGGCUUCACACGUCAUACAAUGGUCGGGACAGAGGGUCGCCAACCCGCGAGGGGGGAGCCAAUCCCGAAACCCGAUCGUAGUCCGAAUCCGCAGUCUGCAACUCGACUGCGUGAAGUGGAAUCGCUAGUAAUCGCGGAUCAGCAUGUCGCGGUGAAUACGUUCCCGGGUCGUACACACCGCCCGUCACACGGGGAGUGGGUUUUACCAAGUAGUUAGCCUAACCGUAAGGAGGGCGGUGCAAAGGUAGGGAUUCAUGACUGGGGUGAAGUCGUAACAAGGUAA